rnacentral:rRNA from 1 species
CAGUCGCCACGGUAAUACGGAGGGGGCUAGCGUUGUUCGGAAUUACUGGGCGUAAAGCGCACGUAGGCGGCUUGGUAAGUUAGAGGUGAAAACCUGGAGCUCAACUCCAGAAUUGCCUUUAAGACUGCCGAGCUAGCAGGUGAGAGAGGUAAGUGGAAUUCCGAGUGUAGAGGUGAAAUUCGUAGAUAUUCGGAAGAACACCAGUGGCGAAGGCGGCUUACUGGCUCAUACUGGACGCUGAGGUGCGAAAGCGUGGGGAGCAAACAGGAUUAGAGACCCCCGUAGUCCCUGUCUCUUAUAC